ACACGCCACCACAUUUGGCUAAUUUGUCGUAGAGACGGAGUCUCACUAUGUUGGCCAGGCUGAAUGACUAUAAUUCUUAAGUGAAGGGAACAGAGCCAUGAGCCAGGAAAUGGAGCCCAAACAUAGAGCAGAGAUCUUGUGGGAUGAUGAAACCUAUCAGAUGUUGGGGCUUUUGAAGUGGCUGAAUUUUAUGUGGAAAGUCACCAGAGAGGAAAGAAUGGGGCAGGGAAGGAUCCCCAGGAUUGCAUGCAGGUCAUGUGAUGUCCUGGUUGUACACUAAGCUGCACAUGCACAAGGACACAAGGCAGGACCCUGAGAGCUCAGAGAGGAUAAAUCAGGGGCCGGAGCGAAAGGGAGAGGAGCACUUGGGGGUUGAAUGGAGAAUUCUAGAUUGCACUGCUCCCAGAUAGAGUUCAAGCAGCCAGAACAGAGACCAUGCAUGACUGUUUCUUUAUAUUUCCCAUCGUUACGGUGUUUGUUCUUGUGUAUAGUGUGGGAAACUAAUCCGACUUUUUCAAAUGGCUAUGCCAUUGGAAAAAUAAAUGGCUACAUCAUUUACUUAAAAAUUCCCCUUUUUAGCCCAAUGAUUUGAGAUAUGAACUUUUUAUGAUUUACUAAUUUUCCAUAAUAUUUGGAUUUUAUUUGUGUGCUUGAUUUUAGUUCUAUCUCAUUCAUCUAUUUGUUUAGUCGUGGGCCAUUAUUAUUGUUUUAAUUAUAUAGUCUUUGCAGUUGGCUUAAUAUGUGGUGAUGUUAAUCCCCCUCGUUUCUCUUGAUAGUAUUUUUCUACCCUUGUGAUUAUUUUUCCAUAUGAACUUCAAUAUCAACUUGUCUAGAUCCAAAAACCCAACCAAAAGAAACUACUGUUGUUAUCUCAAUUGGGAUUGCAUUGACUUCAUAUGCUAAAUUACUGGAGAACUGACAUACUGAUGAUAUUGAGGCUUUCUAUCCAAAUGUCUCUACAUCUGUUCAAGCCACUUUUAUGUUUUUUAGAAAUGUUUUACAGUGUUUUUUUGGUGUGUGUGUUGCUGUUUUUUGUAUUUGAGACAGGGUCUUGCACUGUUGCCCAAGCUGGAGUGUAAUGGCAUGAAACAGCAUCCUGCAGCCUCAUCUUCCUGGGCUCAAGCAACCCUCCUGCCUCAGCCUUCCUAGUAGCUGGGACCACAGGUGUGCACCACCACGCCCAGCUAAUUUUUUUUAUUUUUUGUAGAGACAAGGGUCUCACUUUGUUGCCCAGGUUAGUCUCAAACUCCCAGGCUCAAGCAAUCCUCCUGUUUUGGCCUCCCAAAGCAUUGGGAUUACAGGCAUGCACCACAAUUCCUGACCUACAGUUUUCUUCUUAUGGGCUUUGUACAUUUCUUGCCUCCUGGUAUUUUUAAGGAAAUGUAAGAGUGUGAAUCAGGUACUGAUGGUUUUGACUUCAUUAUGAUCAGCAUCUUUGGCUUCCAUCAGAGUAGACACUGAACGUUUUCAUCCAACCGGAUGAUGAGUGCAUUAGAACUACAUAAGAGAUGAAAUCCUUUCUCCCUGGGACAUGCCCUCCGUGGGAGCCCCAGCAAAUCCAGGUGGACGUGGCUGAAAGACAAAAUGCUCAAAACACCACUGUGCUUCUUCUUACACUCUGGGUCAUCAACAGUCUCAUCUACAUCAAGCUUGUGCCAUUUGUUGACACUAUCAAAUAUGGCAGUGUCACCAAGAAUCUCUCCAUAAAAAUGUGUUUAGCUACACCACACAUGGGCAACACAAUUGCUGUCUCUCAUACGAGUGUUAUCACAUUCCAGGACUUAAUUUUUCUGGUUCUCAUGAGUUGAGCCAGUGGCUACUUGGUGAUUUUCCUUCACAGACACCAGAAAAAUAAUCCACAUCUUCACAACAACAGCUGUUCCUCUAUAGCCUCCCAUGAGACCGGAACCAUCACGACUGCGCUGCUGCUUAUGAUUUGCUUCGUUGUAUUUAAUGUGAGCAACUCGUGCCACAGCAUUUACCUAAGUACGGUGAAGAAAAGGGAUCAGUUGUGGACCAUCUCAGAUUUGAUUUCCUCAUGUUACCCCAUUUUUUGGUCCAUUUUUGCUCAUUGGUAGAGAAAGUCUUAUCCUGAAUUCAAAAUCUAUGAAGUAGAGAAAGUCGUCUUAUCCCAUAGAUAUGUCAAAGUAAACUUUCACCAAUAUAAACUUUUUCCAAAACAACAUUCUAUAAAGAGUUGGUAUUCUGAAGAAAUGAUGGGAUUUAGGUCUGAAAAAUGAGAUAUUUCUCAGUUCACUGCAUGAAAUAUAAUCUAAUGACCUUUACCUUCAGUAAAGACAAUAUUGCAUAGCUUAGUAUUUAAUGUUUGUAUACAUAGAUAUAAUCAUUUAAUAGACAAGUAGAUAGAUAAUUUUUCAUGUCAGAUGUUAUAAUGGACUUCUUGCACUAGUCAUUCAAUAUCCAUAUUUUUCUUACUUUAAUUUGUGUUCAGCAUGAAAAAUCAUUUCAAAAGGAGAUCAGGGACUCCAGGAAGCAGAGCGUAACUCCCCACUUCUAAACUGUGGGCUUCACAUAAUGACAUCCUACCAAGAAAUCAGUAUAGCAAAGGAGGAAAAAGAGUAACUUCGCAUUGGAGAAACCUAACAAACACUGUCUCAGCCAGGUGAUCAAGGCCACUGUGAGCAGUGAUCAGUCAAGUCGAAAGUGCAUAUCAUAUGACAGGAUGAGAAUGGCAUUUUACCUCGACAUCUUCCCUCCCAAAACUAAUAAUCCUACUACAUCAGACAAACCUCAGCUGAGAAACAGUUUCCAAAAACACCUGACUAGUACCCCCUAAAACCAUCAAGGUCAUCAAGAACAAUGUAGUCCUGAGAAAUGAUCACAGCCGGGAAGAACCUAAGGACUUGGUGUCCUUUGGUAUCCUGAUAUGGAAUCCUGGAGCAGAAAAGGACAUUAAGUAAAAACCAAGGAAAUAGAAAUAAAGUAUAAACUUAAUAAUAUAUCAAUAUUAAUUCAUUAAUUGUGACAAAUGUAACAUAGUAAUGUAAGACAUUAAAAUGGGGAAAAUUGGGUAUGAUGUGGAGGAGAACUCUGUGUAUUCUAUUUGCAACUCUUCUGUAAAUGUAAACCUAUUUGAAAAUUAAAAAUUUAUUUUUUAAAAAGAAAA